AAGUCGUAACAAGGUUUCCGUAGGUGAACCUGCGGAAGGAUCAUUAACACGUAUCCAACGUUAAACAACCCUGUGAACUUUAAGUCCCCUCUUGCAGCCCAUGAGGAACAGCAAUCCCGGUAAAUCAUUGCCAAACAGUUUUGAUUCGGGACCUCUGUCCAAAAGGAGUUGCAAUCGAAGGGUGGAAGCAGUGGCAUGGCUUCCCCAAGCAGUGUAAGGAUAACGCCUCACGGUUGCUAGAGGUCGAUCACCGACCGGCAGACAUGUCACAGGGUCACCACGCCCCUUAAUCACUCCACUUGAAAAUGCCCCGCCUAGUGGUAACGCGCUAGGUAAAAAAAACCGAACAACUGUUAACAAUGGAUAUCUUGGUUCUC
rnacentral:misc_RNA from 1 species